GCGGCGGAAGCAGCAGUGCUAUGUUGCGCCGAGCUGCUGCGUUUUGUGGGCUCAUCUCUCUUUGAUCUGAAAAGUUCUUUUUAAGGUAUGAGAGGUUGUAAGUUUUAAGCUCUACAUAAACCAGUUUCUUAGUUAUUUGGAGAUACCUCUGUAGUGUAUCCAUGAUUGAACGAUUUUUAAAGUUUUUUCUCAUUAAAUAGUUGAACCUUUUUAGGUUUAGAGGGGCCAUUAACCAAUAUCUUAGUUAUUUAUCGUGUUUGUUUGUUGUUAUCUUAGCUAUGCUCUGUUUUUUUUCCCUUUUUUUGACAAAGCUAUUCUCUGUUUCAUAUAGGAAUAUGACAUGAAGCUUCUGGAUUCUUCCUCUGUUUGCAAGAUAGAGCAUUACUAUUUGGGAAUGUGAUGUCACAAUCCACACUGUGAACCUUCAUGUUUCAGCUCACCAUAG
rnacentral:lncRNA from 1 species